UUCCUUCUAAGAGGAAGGCAAGAGGGUCAAAGGCAGAAAAAGGAAAUGCGCUGACAAAAGGAGAACUUGCAGUGAUUUUCUUUGAAGAUCAAAGAAGAAGCCACAUGCCAAAUAAUGCAGGCAGCCACUGCAGCUAGAAAUGACAAAGAAUUGGAUUCCCCCUAAAGCUUUCAGAAUGAAUACAGCUUGAUUUUUGCUUAGUAAGACUCAUUUUGGAUUUCUGAUCUCCAGAGCCAUAAGGCUAAAAAUCUCAUAGAGAGAUUUUUUAAUCAACAAGUAGAAAUUCUUGGCAGACGUGCAGAACAAUUACCUCAAAUAUACUAUAUUGAAGGUACUCUCCAAAUGGUUUGGAUUAAUCGCUGCUUUCCAGGGUAUGGAAUGAAUGUCCAGCAACAUCCAAAAUGUCCUGAGUGCUGUGUAGUUGGGACUUCCACUAUGAUGCUGAAAGGAAAUGAAGAAAGGAGACAUCCUUAUUUUGUUCCUAAUCCUGGUGGGAAAGCUUCAAGUUUCUCAACGGACCUCCUGCAGAGCCCCUGUCCAUCUCCUUGUGCCUAAGCUACCACUCCUUCCAUAGUUCCAGGAGUACUUGGCUUAUAAGGAUGCCACAGGA
rnacentral:sRNA from 1 species